rnacentral:misc_RNA from 1 species
CGAAAACAACCUCUCUACUACUAUUUUCCUCAAGGCUUAGACUGCACUUGUGAGAUUACACUAGAUAUGUUGCUCGUAAGCGUAUUAACGGGAUACAUUUUGCAGGAUUAUGUAGAGGAAGAAUUGGAAUGGCUUUCAAAUAAAGAUGCAUUUCCAGCAGUAGAAUUUGACCUAUUCUCUGAUCAUGUCAUAUUUGAUCACCACAGCCCAAAUUCAGUACUGGAAAACAACAACAACAAUUGCAACGUAAAUCUCAAGGACAACGCGUUCACAAGCCACGCCUCUAGCCUCCUACAAGUACCCAUGAACCACCCCGUUGGUACGCGAAGCAAGAGAAGGCGAAGAAUCGCCUUGCAGUGUGACAACUCAUGUGUAUGGGGUAACCAAGUGAAGUUCAACAACACUAGUACUAAG